rnacentral:misc_RNA from 1 species
GCAAUAGCAUUCUCAAAGGUUCUCAUUACUUGUCUUCUUCCCAUCUCACAAUUUCAUUAAUUUGCUUCUCUGUAUGGUUUCCAAAUAGAAUGAUAAAUUCUUCUAAGUUCUUAUAUCUUUCCAUGCUUUAAAAGAAAAUGAAUCUUAGAUUUACUUGGAGACAUUCAUUACAGAAGUCCCAAGGAUUAGCUGUUUCUGUACUCUUCAGAAAAUUUAGGCAAUAGGACAUUGGAUUCAUUUGUAUAGUGCAAAAGCAAUUCUUCUAUGGAGUAGCAUCUGCAUUCUUUAUUGGAUUACAUUUUAAAUAAUCAGAAUAAUUAUCAGAGGGAACAAAAAGAUUAAAAGAAGUUUUUAAAUAGCAAUUUUUUUCCUUGGAUUUUGUUCAUGUCAUUAACAUUCAGUGCAUGUUGAAAGGCUUCUUGGUG